AGAACCUAAGUUCCAGUUCUGGGCCCAUAGCUUUCUGCAAAGCUCCACCUGCUGCCCCUGUGUUUCCUGUCCUUCUAAGGAAUGAGACCACCUGAGGUUUGCAAGAUGAGCUCUCUACCUUUCUCCAGACCCAGCCCAGUGUAUUCUUUACCAUGGGGGCCACCUGGGAAGCCCAAAAUCAAGGGAGGAGCAGCCAAGAAACCACCUGAGGCAAGAGUAAAGGGACUGAAGUUCAUCAAGACUAGGAGACCUGCAACCUGAGACGCACACGCUCUGUUCUCAUCAGCAGCCCCACCCUCAAACUUCUGCUAUAAAACUCCUCAACAAAUCCUCCUGGGUUACCUUACUUUUCAAGGUAAGAGCUCCCUGUCCCUCUUUGCCUGGCAAAACAAUAAAGCUAUCCUUUUUUGGGGGCUUCCCUUGUGGCUCAGAUUCUGAAGAAUCUGUUUGCAGUGCAAGAGAUCUGGGUUCUAUCCCAGGGUUGAGAAGAUCCCCUGGAGAAGGAAAUGGCAACCCACUCCAGUAUUCUUGCCUGGUGAAUCCCAUGGGCAGAGGAGCUAACUCCAUUGCUGAGGUGAGAUUUGGCAUCAGUGCACACGUGUACAGAAAAGCUCGGCUUUCAGCAUCACUUUGUUGUUGUUCAGUCACUAAGUUGUGUCCAGCUCUUUGCCACCCCAUGGACUGCAGCAUUCCAGGCUUCCUGGUCCUUCACCAUCUCCUGGAAUUUGCUUAGAUUCACGUCCAUUGAGUUGAUAAUGCUAACUAUCUCAUCCUCUGCUGCCCUCUUCUCCUGUCUUCAGUCUUUCCCAAUACCAUGGUCUUUUCCAGUGAGUCAGGUCUUUACAACAGGUGGCCAAACUAUUGAUUCAGCUUUAGUCCUUACAAUGAAUAUUCAGGGUUGAUUUCCUUUAGGAUUGACAGGUUUGAUCUCCUUGCAGUCCAAUGGAUUUUUAAGAGUCUUCUCCAGC
ensembl:lncRNA